rnacentral:rRNA from 1 species
UACGUAGGGUGCAAGCGUUGUCCGGAAUUAUUGGGCGUAAAGAGCUCGUAGGCGGUCUGUCGCGUCUGCUGUGAAAACUCGGGGCUUAACCCCGGGCCUGCAGUGGGUACGGGCAGACUAGAGUGCGGUAGGGGAGACUGGAAUUCCUGGUGUAGCGGUGAAAUGCGCAGAUAUCAGGAGGAACCCCGGUGGCGAAGGCGGGUCUAUGGGCCGUAACUGACGCUGAGGAGCGAAAGCAUGGGGAGCGAACAGG